rnacentral:lncRNA from 1 species
ACCCCUAAAGGAUGAAAAGCAAAGUCAACUUUGGCUGAAUUUGAACUCAAAACAUAAAGACAAACGAAAUACCAUUAAGCGUUUCGCCCGGUGUGCAAACAUUUCUACCAGCUCGCCGCCUUAAAGAAAUAUUGAAUAGAGAGUCUACUAAAAAGAUAUGAAAUAAAGCUACAAAUUAUGUGUUAUCACAUAUAUUUUUUAAUGUGACUAAAAUGGUGUCAUCACAAAUAUGGACUUGUAUAGUCUUCUUUUGUAUGAAAAGAUAGCCAGGGCCAUUAGCAUUACACUUGUUAUUCUUCCUCUCUCUUUCUCACCUGCUGGGUUAACUUUAUAUAUGCGGAGGACUUUACAUAUAAUGCACUCAUAAUUACACCUGUCUUCCUCAUUCCCUACCUCUCUGGCUUUUCUAUCUCUGUUUCUCUCACACACAAAAUGUUUGAUUUCAAGCAAAGGUCCGUGAGAACAAUUAAUGGUGCACAUUUUCCUAGUUCAUACUAAUAUAAUUCUCCAUUUAUAUACAAUAUCAUAUUUUCUUUUACAUCUAUUGUAUAAGUUUUAUAAUAACUGGGUUUCAGAAAUGGGAGACAUUACUCGAUGCAGGGUAUGCACUAACCUAUAUAUCUCACCUGUUAAACACAAAGUAUUUGUAUAUAAAUCUGACAUGAAUACUAUUGUAUUAUUUAGCAAUAAACCAUUAAAUGAGUUUGUUAAUUAGUGAGGGGUUUGUCAUGAACAUAUGUAAAGUGAAACAUUAGAAUUCCAGGAAAAUUGUAAGCACGAAAUGCUUGUAUAACGGAAAAAAUUAUUUUGCCUUAAGGAAGAGAAGUCUACUAUCACAGCCAGAACCCUUCAACAGAGAGAGACAAAUUGUUUACACUUGUACUGAAUAGGUAGAUUGGCUGUGGUGAAUGCCAGAAAAACUUUUUAGUGAAGAAUGAGGCAAGGAAAAGAGAACUUAACAAUGAGAAACAGAUGUCAGUGGGUGAGCAAUUGCCACAGUGUGGAGGUAAGUGAAAAAGACACUGAAAAAUUGGGAAAAUGCAUAGGGUAAAGGAGUAAUGAUCAAGAGAAUGGAGGGAAAAUAUAUACUUGUAUAUACAUAUAUUUCUUAGUUUUCUUAUGUUUGUGCAUUGAAUAUGAAGACAUCUCCUCCAUAUGUGGAUACUUUAAUAACUACCCACCCCAAAACUUGAUCGGUUACUGAGAUUUUGUGGAGGACUUUACAUAUAAUGAAUCUGUUGUAGGUGGGACAUGUAAAUGUUUUAUAUAUAUAUAUAUAUAAAAUGAGUUGGCAAGGUUCUUGAGAAGACCCACUCACUUCUUCAAAGCUGAGUUCUGGAGGUACUGUAUUUCAAUCCAUCUCCAGUAAACCAAACUACAUCUCUUCAUAUUCUUGUCUAUUCCCCUGCCCCAUCCACCACCACCACUGUUUCUGCUACUUUGUUAUCUCACUCUCUUAUCCCUCUCCUGCCAACUGUAUCAUUGCUAUCCAGUCACUCCCCUAUAUACCCAUGUCACCAUUCACUGCCUUCUCCUACUCCCUUCACCUCCUUUGCACUCUUGUGAAUGUCCUGCUCACUCAACCUGUUCAUUCCUCUGCACCACUCUGUUUACAUUUACCUCUUUGCAACUUGAAGGUACACCAUGGCACAUUGUCACCAUCUCUCUCUCUCCAACUAGAGUAACCAUAUAUUUCCUCUAUACAACACACCUGUUUCUGUAUUUUAUCAAUAUAAACUCUCAUGUAUGUUUGUAUGUACCCUUCUCUAAACGUUAUAUGAUGAUUGUAAAUAAGAAUCAUCAUUAUAUAAGCAAUAUUGUUCAUUUCCAGUCUUCAUGGUGGAUCUAGCUAUGAGAAAAUAUUACCUUACUUGGAAACAUGUGAGGGUUAGCAUCAGGAAGUGUAUCCAACCAUUGAAAAUCUGCCUUGACAGCAUGGAAAAUUUUGGCUGACUCAUGCAGGCAUG